UUGCCUGCAGCUAGCUCUCUGCAACUCUCACAUGGUCGCCCACUGAAGCUGAACAGGGCUGCGCCUGGUCAGUACCUGGAUGGGUGACCACAUGGGAAAGCUAGGUUGCUGUGAAA
rfam:Danio rerio chromosome 16, GRCz11 reference primary assembly.